CCCGCUGGAAAUUUUCACGGCGCCAUUUUGAAGUCGCUGGGUCGGACCUGCGUGGUGAGCGCUCUCUCCGUAGAAUUGCCGCAGUCGUCUCUGUUGGAAGAUGGCCAUGGCGAACAGGAAUCUGAAGCAAGUGCGCAUCGAGAGAAACAACAAUGGCAGCAACAGCAGUGAGAGGAUUUCCCCUCCGCAGCAGCAGAUGGUGCACCCGGGGAGGAACAAGCGCAGCUUUGACCUGUCCGAGGGGGACCCGGCUCUUAUGCCUCCUAAGAUGGAAGAGGCGGAGGAGUCUCAGGGGGUGACCAUCGACAUCAAGAGCUUCCUGAAGCCCGGGGAGAAGAGCUACACCCAGCGGUGCCGCCUGUUCGUGGGCAACCUGCCGACCGACAUCACGGAGGAGGAUUUUAAGAAGCUCUUUGAGAAGUUUGGAGAACCCAGCGAGGUCUUCAUCAACCGGGACCGGGGCUUCGGCUUCAUCCGCCUGGAAUCCAGAACACUCGCUGAAGUAGCAAAAGCAGAGCUUGAUGGCAUGGUACUCAAAAACAGGCCACUCCGUAUCCGCUUUGCUACCCACGGGGCAGCGCUCACAGUCAAAAAUCUGUCUCCUGUGGUAUCAAAUGAACUGCUUGAAGAAGCUUUCUCCAUGUUCGGCCCAGUUGAACGAGCGGUUGUCAUAGUGGAUGAUCGUGGCAGAGCGACAGGCAAGGGCUUUGUGGAGUUUGCAGCAAAGCCCCCAGCAAGGAAAGCUAUGGAGAGAUGCACAGAUGGAGCGUUUAUACUGACAACGACUCCACGACCAGUUAUUGUAGAACCAAUGGAGCAGUUUGAUGAUGAAGAUGGUUUGCCAGAAAAAUGUAUGCAGAAGACUCAGCAGUACCUCAAAGAAAGGGAGGAGCCCCCAAGGUUUGCUCAGCCAGGAACAUUCGAGUUUGAGUACUCUUCACGAUGGAAAGCGCUGUAUGAAAUGGAGAAACAGCAGAAAGAACAGGUUGACCGGAACAUAAAAGAAGCGAAGGAGAAAUUGGAGGCAGAGAUGGAAGCAGCCCGCCAUGAGCAUCAGCUGAUGCUUAUGAGACAAGAUCUAAUGCGACGGCAAGAAGAGCUGAGAAGGCUGGAGGAGCUGAGGAAUCAGGAACUUCAAAAGCGGAAGCAGUUUCAUAUGAGACAUGAAGAAGAACAGAGACGACGGGAAGAAGACAUGAUUCGUCAGAGGGAGCAGGAUGAUCUAAGACGUCAGGAAAGUUUCAAACCAGCUUACAUGGACACUAGAGAACAGGAUUUGAGGAUGGGUGAUAUGGGCGUCCGAGGAGCAAUAAAUAUGGGAGAUACCUAUAGCCCAGCUCCUGCUGUAAACCAAGGUCCUCCUCCUCCACCACCACCACCACCUCCUCCUCCUUCAAUGAUGGGGAUGAAUAUCGCCAACCGGGCAACUGUCUCAAGCCCUUCAAUGGGUCCUGGUGCUACAAUGGGCUCUGAAGGAGCUGCAAGCAUUGGAGCGGCUAUGAUGCCAGAUAAUGGAGCAGUGGCCAGUCUCCUACUCGGUGCCGGCGGGUAAAGAACAAGAAAAUUGAAACUUCCAUGUGAAAUUAUCAGAAAUGUUCACAAUGGAAUAAUCAGGAGGAUGUUAUCGGAUGUUCAGAUCUGCGGUUGGUGGACAAGAAUCUGUUGCUAACUGUCUCAGUUUAAAUUAAUUUGUGGAUGGAUCAUAUCCGGUGGUCUGCACCAACAACUGGUAUUACCUGAAUGAAACAUGAAAAUGCUAAUGGCUGAAGAUUGAUCUGGUCUUGAAUACAUUUGUGUCCUUAAAUGAAAAGUUCUAUAAGCAACAGAUAUUUUUGCAAAUGUUAUUUGAAAAACUUCUAUAGCCAAACUGAAAUUUGGUAGUUUAAUCUUUCUGUGGUUUGUAUGGAAAAGAUUAGCAAAAAUCAAUUGAUCUGAUUUCACCCUGUAACAUGAGGGAUGAUUUUCAUGUUGAAAAAGUUUUAAUUGUAGUAAAAUUGUUUGAUUAAAUGUUUGUAUUAUCCAACAAUGGAAAUUCUAAAUAAAAAUAUAAAGUAU